rfam:Salmo salar isolate Sally breed double haploid chromosome ssa05, whole genome shotgun sequence.
CCUAAACGCUCCUGUAAGUCGCUCUGGAUAAGAGCGUCUGCUAAAUGACAAAUG